rnacentral:lncRNA from 1 species
GAAUCAUUACUAGUCGAAGGUAUGAUUCGAAGUUGGAAUGUUCCACAUCUCGAACAAUUUAAACAUGUUUACUCAAGUACUCAAUCAGCAACCGAUCUUUAAAUAUUCAGAUAUUAAUGGAUAUUGUUACAGGUUUUUUUUUUUUUUUUUUUGAAGACAAUAUUGUUACGAAAAUUGAUAGCAUUUUUUUCCUAAAAUGAUCCCUUUUUUUUGUUGGGACAAUUUUCACUCAAUCAAGGCUAUAAGCGAAGAACGUAACGUUCACGUCGAGAAGCCUGCAGUUUGUCGGCCGGUAGGUGUGCCAUCUUCUUAGUUAUUUCUCACACAAUUGUAUGCUUAAUUAAUAUUUUGCAAUUUGACAAUAAAU